UGAGGAAUAUUGGUCAAUGGGCGCAAGCCUGAACCAGCCAUGCCGCGUGCAGGAUGACGGUCCUAUGGAUUGUAAACUGCUUUUGUACAGGAAGAAACACUCCCUCGUGAGGGAGCUUGACGGUACUGUAAGAAUAAGGAUCGGCUAACUCCGUGCCAGCAGCCGCGGUAAUACGGAGGAUCCAAGCGUUAUCCGGAAUCAUUGGGUUUAAAGGGUCCGUAGGCGGUUUUAUAAGUCAGUGGUGAAAUCUGGUCGCUCAACGAUCAAACGGCCAUUGAUACUGUAGAACUUGAAUUACUUGGAAGUAACUAGAAUAUGUAGUGUAGCGGUGAAAUGCUUAGAGAUUACAUGGAAUACCAAUUGCGAAGGCAGGUUACUACGAGUUAAUUGACGCUGAUGGACGAAAGCGUGGGGAGCGAACA
rnacentral:rRNA from 1 species